rnacentral:tRNA from 1 species
GCCGCGAUCGCAUAAUUUGGUAUUGCGUCGGUCUCGAAAACCGAUUUCUUCGGAUAUGUAGGUUCAAAUCCUACUCGCGGCG